UGGGAAUAUUGGGCAAUGGGGGGCAACCCUGACCCAGCAACGCCGCGUGAAGGAAGAAGGCUUUCGGGUUGUAAACUUCUUUUGUCAGGGACGAAUAAAUGACGGUACCUGACGAAUAAGCCACGGCUAACUACGUGCCAGCAGCCGCGGUAAUACGUAGGUGGCAAGCGUUGUCCGGAUUUACUGGGUGUAAAGGGCGUGUAGGCGGGAUUGCAAGUCAGAUGUGAAAUGUAGGGGCUUAACCCCUGAGCUGCAUUUGAAACUGUAGUUCUUGAGUGAUGGAGAGGCAGGCGGAAUUCCUAGUGUAGCGGUGAAAUGCGUAGAUAUUAGGAGGAACACCAGUGGCGAAGGCGGCCUGCUGGACAUUAACUGACGCUGAGGCGCGAAAGCGUGGGGA
rnacentral:rRNA from 1 species